GAUGAACGCUGGCGGCGUGCCUAACACAUGCAAGUCGAGCGAUCUUCUUCGGAAGAGAGCGGCGGACGGGUGAGUAACGCGUGGGUAACCUGCCCUGUACACACGGAUAACAUACCGAAAGGUAUGCUAAUACGAGAUAACAUACUUUUAUCGCAUGGUAGAAGUAUCAAAGCUCCGGCGGUACAGGAUGGACCCGCGUCUGAUUAGCUAGUUGGUAAGGCAACGGCUUACCAAGGCGACGAUCAGUAGCCGACCUGAGAGGGUGAUCGGCCACAUUGGAACUGAGACACGGUCCAAACUCCUACGGGAGGCAGCAGUGGGGAAUAUUGCACAAUGGGCGAAAGCCUGAUGCAGCAACGCCGCGUGAGCGAUGAAGGCCUUCGGGUCGUAAAGCUCUGUCCUCAAGGAAGAUAAUGACGGUACUUGAGGAGGAAGCCCCGGCUAACUACGUGCCAGCCGCCGCAGUAAAAC
rnacentral:rRNA from 1 species